rnacentral:lncRNA from 1 species
GUUUUGUGGGUUACGUUCAGUAAAAUGUCAUUCACUGUCUAUCAAAGGGCACCAUCCAUAAAUGCAGGAAUAUUUACAGUGAGUCUCUCGAAGACUACGGAUACCUUCCAGCUAUGACUCCCGAAGGCAACACAUACUUCUGGGAAAAUAAAUAUGUGCAAGUUGUAAUUAUUUCUCAAUGGGGACUAAACUGGGAUUAAAACUUCACUUAGGCAACAUAGCAAGUAGAAAAUGCGUCUAAGGAAAGAUCUUGGGAAAGCUGAAGAAUAUUGCUUCUUGAUCCAACUGAAAGGCUUGGAAUGUGUUUCUUGGUGCAGUUCGUCUUGACGUCCACAAGAACCUCCACCAUACGUGU